GUGAGGAAUAUUGCGCAAUGGGCGAAAGCCUGACGCAGCAACGCCGCGUGAGGGACGAAGGCCUUCGGGUCGUAAACCUCUUUUCUGGGGAAAGAGCAAGGACGGUACCUCAGGAAUAAGUCUCGGCUAACUACGUGCCAGCAGCCGCGGUAAAACGUAGGAGGCGAGCGUUAUCCGGAUUUACUGGGCGUAAAGCGCGCGCAGGCGGUUUCGUGAGUCGGACAUGAAAGCUCCUGGCUUAACUGGGAGAGGCUGUUCGAUACUGCGGGACUUGAGGUUGGGAGAGGGGUGUGGAAUUCCCGGUGUAGUGGUGGAAUGCGUAGAUAUCGGGAGGAACACCUGUGGCGAAAGCGGCACCCUGGCCCACACCUGACGCUGAGGUGCGAAAGCGUGGGGAGCAAACAGGAUUAGAAACCCUAGUAGUCC
rnacentral:rRNA from 1 species